GAGCAUGUCGGCCGGGAGUCACGGGUUCGAACGCAACGGCGAACCGCCCGUUCGGUCUCCACCGCGAUCCUUAGACCGACGCCCAACGGGUCGCGACGUCCUACUCGGGGAGAAGUGCACGCGUUCAGAAACGCCAACACGGAAACUCGGAGCUCGUGAUGCGAACAUCGUUAGUCACACGUGAAUCCGGCGCCGUAACGUGAUACGCGCUGAAUCUCCCCUUUCGACCUUUCGGGUUUCUCAGGUUUACCCCUGAACGGUUUCACGUACUAUUGAACUCUCUCUGCAAAGUUCUUUUCAACUUUCCCUCACGGUACUUGUUCGCUAUCGGCCUCAUGGUUUUAUUUAGCCUUAGAUGGAGUUUACCACCCACUUAGGGCUGCACUCUCAAGCAACCCGACUCUGAGGAGAGAUCCUCCCGUAGACGGCGACAGUACUUACGGGACUGGCACCCUCUGUGGGCUGUGACCCCGUUCAAGAAGGACUUAAACGCACCGCACAUCCACGGGAUAACGGAUCCUCCCAAACACCACAUUUCCCGGCGAUCGUUUCCGAACGCGGGAUUCAGUGCUGGGCUUUUCCCUGUUCGCUCGCAGCUACUAUGGGAAUCUUGGUUAGUUUCUCUUCCUCCGC
rnacentral:rRNA from 1 species